AGUUUAGCAGAUAUUCCGCAUUACUGGCUGGGAUUAUGUAUGGCAGGUCCAGACUUGCAUAUUUAAAACCAAAAGCUGAAGAAGACAGAAGGAUAGAGGCGGAGGAGAAAAAGAAACAAGAAGAAGCAGCACGCAUUGCAAGAGAGUUGGCAGAUCAAGAAGACACCAUCUUGAAAUAGGUUGGAGGUUUUUCAGUGAACAGAGAGAAUGUGUACCAGAGAUUCUUCAACA